GCUCCCAUGGCGUAGUGUUCACUGCACUCGCCUUGCACGCGGGAAACCGGGUUCGAUUCCCGGUGGGGUCA
rnacentral:tRNA from 1 species